rnacentral:rRNA from 1 species
CGAAGGCAAGCAAAGCCCAAAAAAGGNGUCCCAGUUCGGAUUGCAGCCUGCAACUCGGCUGCAUGAAGCUGGAAUCGCUAGUAAUCGCAGAUCAGAAUGCUGCGGUGAAUACGUUCCCGGGUCUUGUACACACCGCCCGUCACACCAUGGGAGUUGGGAAUGCCCGAAGUCAGUGACCCAACCGCAAGGAGGGAGCUGCCGAAGGCAGGCUUGAUAACUGGGGUGAAGUCGUAACAAGGUAAC